ACGCUGGCGGCGUGCCUAAUACAUGCAAGUCGAGGGGCAUCAAGGUACACGAAAGUGUAUUGUUGGCGACCGGCGGACGGGUGAGUAAUAGGUAGGUAACCUACCUCAUACUGAGGCAUAGCUGGGAGAAAUUCCAGGUAAUUCCUCAUGAGGUUAUAUGACACAUGUGAUAUAAUCAAAGGUAUCGCAAGGUACUGGUAUGAGAUGGGCUUACUGACCAUUAGCUAGUUGGUGAGAUAAGAGCUCACCAAGGCGAAGAUGGUUAGGGGUUUUGAGAGAGAGAUCCCCCACAUUGGAACUGAGAUACGGUCCAGACUCCUACGGGAGGCAGCAGUAGGGAAUAUCGGGCAAUGGGCGGAAGCCUGACCCAGCCAUGCCGCGUGAAGGAAGACGGCCUUAUGGGUUGUAAACUUCUUUACUAUGCGACUAACUAGAUUUACGAGAUAAUUCUAUAGAAUGUAGCAUAGCAAAAAGCACCGGCUAACUCCGUG
rnacentral:rRNA from 1 species